rnacentral:rRNA from 1 species
AACGAACGCUGGCGGCAUGCCUAACACAUGCAAGUCGAACGAGACCUUCGGGUCUAGUGGCGCACGGGUGCGUAACGCGUGGGAACCUGCCCUUAGGUUCGGAAUAACUCCCCGAAAGGGGUGCUAAUACCGGAUAAUGUCUUCGGACCAAAGAUUUAUCGCCUUUGGAUGGGCCCGCGUUGGAUUAGCUAGUUGGUAGGGUAAAAGCCUACCAAGGCGACGAUCCAUAGCUGGUCUGAGAGGAUGAUCAGCCACACUGGGACUGAGACACGGCCCAGACUCCUACGGGAGGCAGCAGUGGGGAAUAUUGGACAAGGGCGAAAGCCUGAUCCAGCAAUGCCGCGUGAGUGAUGAAGGCCUUAGGGUUGUAAAGCUCUUUUACCCGGGAUGAUAAUGACAGUACCGGGAGAAUAAGCUCCGGCUCACUCCGUG